rnacentral:rRNA from 1 species
CCUACGGGAGGCAGCAGUGAGGAAUAUUGGUCAAUGGACGAGAGUCUGAACCAGCAAAGUAGCGUGAAGGAUGACUGCCCUAUGGGUGGUAAACUUCUUUUAUAUGGGAGUAAAAUGUUCCACGUGUGGGAUUUUGUAUGUACCAUAUGAAUAAGGAUCGGCUAACUCCGUUCCAGCAGCCGCGGUAAGACGGAGGUUCCGAGCGUUAUCCGGAUUUAUUGGGUUUAAAGGGAGCGUAGGUGGAUUGUUAAGUCAGUUGUGAAAGUUUGCGGCUCAACCGUAAAAUUGCAGUUGAAACUGGCAGUCUUGAGUACAGUAGAGGUGGGCGGAAUUCGUGGUGUAGCGGUGAAAUGCUUAGAUAUCACGAAGAACGCCGAUGGCGAAGGCAGCUCACUGGACUGUAACUGACACUGAGGCUCGAAAGUGUGGGUAUCAAACAGGAUUAGAUACCCCUGUAGUC